rnacentral:lncRNA from 1 species
CAAACCCAGCUCGCUAACCGGCGCGGGCAGAGUACAGCUCCCAGGCUCCCGAAGCUUCCCACAUCUGGAGGAUGACGACCCUCCCCUGACCACAUCUGGAGGGCGUCCAGCUGCGAGCCAGCGGGGCACAGCUCUCUUCUCCUGGCCUGGAUCCCCACCCCCCCAACCCAGGAAGACUGAGAAUCCCAUCAUCGCGUGCACAUCUCAUCCCAGGAGGGAGAGAGGAGCUGCCGAGUAGAAAGCAGACUGGCUGCAGGGACAGAAGACACCAAGGGCACCCUCCCCCACAGCUGCGCCUGGACCUCCUGCGAGAAGAGGAAGCCUUAGGGGUCUUUAUUGUACCCUCAAGACCCCAGAGAGAAACAGAAGUGCUGAGGGGUCGCAGGCAGGUCUCUUACCCUCUCUGGGCCUCGAAUAUUUAUCCAUAGGAGGCUGAAGGUAACUGCCUUCGCAACUCAUUCAUGAGGGUCAAUGGGACGACAGUGGCAAGAGGGGUUGGCACACUGCCCAGACUGUUCCAAAGCCAGGGCUGGGGCUGCCAAAAAGGCCACCUGUGCUUCACCAUGCUCCAUCCUCCCUCUCUUCCACCUCCCCAGGCUGGGCUCCACUUGUCCAGCUCUCUGACUUCCUGGCAAGGUUGAGUAGGCUCCAGCUAGGAAGGGGCCAGCUGACCUUGUUGGCCGGAGCACUAAUCCCCUCCAGAUGGGCUGGUGGCUUGCACUGAGGGCCUGGCUGCCCAGACAGAGCUGACUCUGGUCCCAGUGACCAUGUGUGGCUAUGUGUGACCGUGUGAAGGGAGCAAUUCCAUCCAGUCUCCCGGUUCCUUCCUGCUUCACUCCUCCCCACUGCUGACAUCCCCCACAAGCAGUGGCCCCAUGAAGGCCUUCUUGUCUCUAGUAGCCUCUUUUGGCUCUCUGUGUUGCUUAGCUGGAGGGCUGAGGAUGCCUGGCACAGCCGAUUCCCAAAGGCCUCAGAGGGACAGCUCCUCCCCCUGCUUCCCCCACCCCGUCAGCCCCAUCACUCUGCACCUGCCCUUCCCAAAGCAUGUGUCCCAGUCCCCAUCCCUCAACCCAAGGAAGAUGUAUGUGUCAAGGACAGGACUCAGGAGCAUUUCCCAACAUUUAGGGGAAAGGAUGAGGUCACAGGAAGGCUUUCUCUGCAGCAAGAAGGACUCAGAUAGAUUUGGGGAAGGACUUCCAACCCAACAGAUGUUCCAAACGAAAGAGAACUCUUUCUUUGGACCAGCUUGUAUGAAAGCAGACAAAUGGACAACAUGACCUCCUGCAAGGAGGCCCUGCUUCCAUCCUUUCGAGGCUGGGGCUAGAUGGAUACCCCAAAAGAAAUGUCUUAGUCGUGACAAUAGCAGCUCCCACAAUGCACCAGGGCAUAUGCAAAGUCACCAUUCUGUGAAAUAUAAAAGCUCAUAUAAAGCAAAAAAAAAAAAAAAAAA